rnacentral:rRNA from 1 species
UAACACGUAUGCAACCUGCCCUCUUCAGGGGGACAACCUUCCGAAAGGGAGGCUAAUCCCGCGUAUAUCGGUUUCGGGCAUCCGAGAUCGAGGAAAGAUUCAUCGGAAGAGGAUGGGCAUGCGGCGCAUUAGCUUGACGGCGGGGUAACGGCCCACCGUGGCGACGAUGCGUAGGGGUUCUGAGAGGAAGGUCCCCCACACUGGUACUGAGACACGGACCAGACUCCUACGGGAGGCAGCAGUGAGGAAUAUUGGUCAAUGGGAGAGAUCCUGAACCAGCCAAGCCGCGUGAGGGAAGACGGCCCUAUGGGUUGUAAACCUCUUUUGUCGGAGAACAAAACCCGGGACGUGUCCCGGACUGCGUGUAUCCGAAGAAAAAGCAUCGGCUAACUCCGUGCCAGCAGCCGCGGUAAUACGGAGGAUGCGAGCGUUAUCCGGAUUUAUUGGGUUUAAAGGGUGCGUAGGCGGUCCGUUAAGUCAGCGGUAAAAUUGCGGGGCUCAACCCCGUCGAGCCGUUGAAACUGGCAGACUUGAGUUGGCGAGAAGUACGCGGAAUGCGCGGUGUAGCGGUGAAAUGCAUAGAUAUCGCGCAGAACUCCGAUUGCGAAGGCAGCGUACCGGCGCCACACUGACGCUGAGGCACGAAAGCGUGGGGAUCGAACAGGAUUAGAUACCCUGGUAGUCCACGCAGUAAACGAUGAAUGCUGGUU